rnacentral:rRNA from 1 species
AUUGAACGCUGGCGGCAUGCUUUACACAUGCAAGUCGAACGGUAACAGGGAGCUUGCUCCGCUGACGAGUGGCGAACGGGUGAGUAAUAUAUCGGAACGUACCCAAGAGUGGGGGAUAACGUAGCGAAAGUUACGCUAAUACCGCAUACGAUCUAUGGAUGAAAGCAGGGGACCUUCGGGCCUUGUGCUCCUGGAGCGGCCGAUAUCUGAUUAGCUAGUUGGUGAGGUAAAGGCUCGCCAAGGCGACGAUCAGUAGCUGGUCUGAGAGGACGACCAGCCACACUGGAACUGAGACACGGUCCAGACUCCUACGGGAGGCAGCAGUGGGGAAUUUUGGACAAUGGGCGCAAGCCUGAUCCAGCAAUGCCGCGUGAGUGAAGAAGGCCUUCGGGUUGUAAAGCUCUUUUGUCAGGGAAGAAACGGCUGUGGCUAAUAUCCACGGCUAAUGACGGUACCUGAAGAAUAAGCACCGGCUAACUACGUG